rnacentral:tRNA from 1 species
GCUCCUGUAGUCUAGACCGGUCAAACUUCCCGUCCUGCGGGCAGGAAGAAAUCGUAAGGAUCCGGCCCUCUCAAGGCUGUGACUCGGGUUCAAACCGGGCUUUCUUUAAAAAGAAAGCACGGGUGCAAAGAAACUACGCCUUCCGGCACCAUGAAAAUCCCGACAGGAGCACCA